GUUUAUUAAACUCUUUGCUGCCUGCAGCCUUUGUGUUGUCAGUGAGGAUAAAAGUAUGAAGUAAGAUGUUGCAUUAUGGACUUGCCGACAUACAUAUUGUGGAAUAUGUGCAUUCUUGAAGGAAAUAACAAGGAUGCUCUGCAAUUCCUACAGUGAAUGAAACAAUAUGGACUUGCCGAUAUACAUAUUGUAGAACAUGUGCAUUCUUGAAAGAAAUAACUCUACAAAUCGUACGGUGAAUCAAACAAUGUGGACUUGUCGACAUGCAUAUUGGGGAAUAUGUGCAUUCCUGAAGAAAAUAACGUGACAAGCAAUCGUGGGCCCUAACUGAAGAGAACCAUUUCAAAGAAUGGAACCAAUGUAUUCUUACCGUAGGAUUUCAAAGAGGCUGCUGCUUUUAUUAAAUUUGAAAUAAUCCUCACUCGAACAAUACAAUAUACCUUUGGUGCAUUUGGUGCAAAUGGAUUGGCUUGAAUAACUAAACACGUCAAGACGAGAACUGUUGGAAGAAAACCAGGCAAAUCAGAGGAUGCAUGAUUUCAAAUCCUAGAAUUACUAGUAAAUGGCUACCUAAUCAAAGACUUUGAAUCAAAUAUAGAGAAUACCGGCAAUGCAAAACAAAGAAUAUUAGAAAAACAUCAUUAGCUAUGAAAUAUGCUGCAGCUGGCUGCUACUGCAAUUCUUGGUCAACUCUCAAAAUAAAUGGAAGGCUCUCGUGCUUCUUGAUAGUGAAGGUUUCGAAAUAGACAAUGGAUGGAAGAGAAAAACCACAUGAGUAGUACUACAUAUAUGAUACAAAAUUUAAUGCAAUUUAUUUUAUAUUCCAGUUGAAAGUGAUGACAAUACAGCCAUGGACUUCACUGUUACGGUUUAAUAGCACAAUUGCAAUGAUGCAAAUUCCUUGCAGUGAGUAAUGCCUUCCAGAUAUACAGUUCAUCCUGCGCCUCUUUUUUAACCAUUGGAAAAGGUAUUUCAUGGAAUAUAAUAUUUCAAAUGUACUAUUAAAUAAGUUUGGUUGUCUGUUAAGAAGUUUUGAGCAAGCACUGUUUAUUUUUCAAUUUAAAUAAAUGCCUAUUAUUAUUCAAUCAAUGAAGAUUAUCACAGAUAAAAUUUGAUAAACUAUUGAUUCGAAUAAUUAAAAGUAGUAAUAUGUAUUUGAAUGUAGAUAAUCCCUGUGAAUUACUGGUUUAAAU